GCCGCUAUAGCUCAGUCGGUUAGAGUAUGGGUCUAAUAAGAUCAAGGUCGCAGGCUCGAACCUUGCUGGCGGCA